UGAGCACCAGCUUGCUGGUGUGGAUUAGUGGCGAACGGGUGAGUAACACGUGAGUAACCUGCCCCUCACUCUGGGAUAAGCCUGGGAAACUGGGUCUAAUACUGGAUACGACCGAUCUCCGCAUGGAGUGUUGGUGGAAAGUUUUUGUGGUGGGGGAUGGACUCGCGGCCUAUCAGCUUGUUGGUGGGGUAAUGGCCUACCAAGGCGACGACGGGUAGCCGGCCUGAGAGGGCGACCGGCCACACUGGGACUGAGACACGGCCCAGACUCCUACGGGAGGCAGCAGUGGGGAAUAUUGCACAAUGGGCGAAAGCCUGAUGCAGCGACGCCGCGUGAGGGAUGACGGCCUUCGGGUUGUAAACCUCUUUCACCAGGGACGAAGCUAACGUGACGGUACCUGGAGAAGAAGCACCGGCUAACUACGUGCCAGCAGCCGCGGUAAUACGUAGGGUGCGAGCGUUGUCCGGAAUUAUUGGGCGUAAAGAGCUUGUAGGCGGUUUGUCGCGUCUGCUGUGAAAGACCGGGGCUUAACUCCGGUUCUGCAGUGGGUACGGGCAGACUAGAGUGUGGUAGGGGAGACUGGAAUUCCUGGUGUAGCGGUGAAAUGCGCAGAUAUCANGAGGAACACCGAUGGCGAAGGCAGGUCUCUGGGCCAUUACUGACGCUGAGAAGCGAAAGCAUGGGGAGCGAACAGGAUUAGAUACCCUGGUAGUCCAUGCCGUAAACGUUGGGCGCUAGGUGUGGGACUCAUUCCACGAGUUUCCGUGCCGCAGCUAACGCAU
rnacentral:rRNA from 1 species